rnacentral:ncRNA from 2 species
UUACCCCACAGAGGUGCACCGGAGAUGAGUAAACCGUCCAUCAUGGGGAUCGGGACGGAUUGAAAGGCGAAGGUGCCGAAGGAUACAGGGUACCCCAAGCUCUGUACUCCUGGGUAUACGGGGAAUACCCGUAUAACUGUCACGGGGCUGUGUCUCGUGGAGCGCUGGUGGGCAU